rnacentral:rRNA from 1 species
AAUGAACGUUGGCGGCAUGGAUUAGGCAUGCAAGUCGAGCGAUAAGUGUAGCAAUACACGGAAAGCGGCGGAAGGGAGAGUAAUACGUGGGAAUCUGCCCUUAGACCUGGGAUAGCAGCGGGAAACUGCUGGUAAUACCAGAUAAUGUCUAUGGACCAAAGGUGUGAUUCCGUCUAGGGAUGAGCCCACGUCCUAUUAGCUAGUUGGUAGGGUAAUGGCCUACCAAGGCGAUGAUGGGUAGCGGGUGUGAGGGCAUGACCCGCCUCACUGGGACUGAGACACUGCCCAGACACCUACGGGUGGCUGCAGUCGAGAAUCUUCGGCAAUGGGCGCAAGCCUGACCGAGCGAUGCCGCGUGCGGGAUGAAGGCCUUCGGGUUGUAAACCGCUGUCGAGGGGGAGCAACUUCCAUAGAGUUAUCUUUAUGGAUUGAGUGAUCCCUGGAGGAAGGACGGGCUAAGUUCGUGCCAGCCGCCGCUGUAAGAC